CAAAGGCAAACCGUCCGAAAGGGCGGGACGCAAAGCCAGGAGGCUACAGCGGGCGACCGCCACGCCGGUCCGGCUGCCA
rnacentral:ncRNA from 1 species